rnacentral:rRNA from 1 species
UACGCAGGGUGCAAGCGUUAAUCGGAAUUACUGGGCGUAAAGGGUGCGUAGGCGGUUGUUUAAGUCUGUCGUGAAAUCCCCGGGCUCAACUUGGGAAUUGCAAUGGAUACUGGCAGGCUGGAGUAUGGUAGAGGAAGGUGGAAUUCCCGGUGUAGCAGUGAAAUGCGUAGAGAUCGGGAGGAACACCAGUGGCGAAGGCGGCCUUCUGGACCAAUACUGACGCUCAUGCACGAAAGCGUGGGGAGCAAACAGG